GAUGAACGCUGGCGGCGUGCCUAAUACAUGCAAGUCGAGCGAACAGACGAGGAGCUUGCUCCUCUGACGUUAGCGGCGGACGGGUGAGUAACACGUGGAUAACCUACCUAUAAGACUGGGAUAACUUCGGGAAACCGGAGCUAAACCGGAUAAUAUAUUGAACCGCAUGGUUCAAUAGUGAAAGACGGUUUUGCUGUCACUUAUAGAUGGAUCCGCGCCGCAUUAGCUAGUUGGUAAGGUAACGGCUUACCAAGGCGACGAUGCGUAGCCGACCUGAGAGGGUGAUCGGCCACACUGGAACUGAGACACGGUCCAGACUCCUACGGGAGGCAGCAGUAGGGAAUCUUCCGCAAUGGGCGAAAGCCUGACGGAGCAACGCCGCGUGAGUGAUGAAGGUCUUCGGAUCGUAAAACUCUGUUAUUAGGGAAGAACAAAUGUGUAAGUAACUAUGCACGUCUUGACGGUACCUAAUCAGAAAGCCACGGCUAACUACGUG
rnacentral:rRNA from 1 species